ACAAAAACAACAAAAAACAAACACCCAAAAUCCUCCUCUCUUUCUCCCUCACGCGUAUCAACCAAAGAAAAAUCAGAUAUCCAUCUUCUUCCUUCUCGCCAUUUUUUCUCUGAUUCCUUCUCGCCAUUUUAAGAUUUCUUUCUUGAAAUUUGCUACAAUUGAUUAAUCUUCUUCCUCAUUCAAUCUAUUGAUUAUCGAGUGCAAACCUUGUAAUCUUGAUCUGAAGUUUCAAAGAAUUCAGCCCUAGCAUAGCCUCCUCCUUUGAAGCAUUCUUCUUCGAAAAACAACAAUGGCGCGAUUCGAACCAUCUUCUUCCUCUAAUCUUCGAAAAAAUGCAUCAGGUUAACGUUUAACUUCUUUAGUGUUGGAUCGUGGGAAGAAGCAAGUGUAUUCAUCCUCAAUCUUAACUGUUAAAGUCUUCGAUGAAAACCUCAUUUCCGUCCGUACGUGUAACUACCAUCCUAGUCUUUCAUUUUCCCUCUGAUUUUCGUUGAGCAUACAUGGAUUGAAGCACUUUUUCACUUACAAUCGGACGGAAAAUACGACUAUUACUGAAUAUAGAACCGGACUUUUCUUUAUCCAGUUGCAACCGAAAGUGAGGAGGCGACAUCAUCGAAGAACCCUUCUAGUUGAUAGCUGCGAUCUGGUUUUGACUCCUUGAAGCAUCUUUUGCGGUGAGUAGUAAUAGUCCCUUAGGGUCUGGCCAGAAUAUUGUUUUGAAAAUAUUUUUUAUCAAAUUGUUUUGAAUGGAUAAUUAUUGAAGCAAAUUCAUUAUGAUGAUUAUGUUGAUAUUAAUAGGGUCAAUGGAUCGGGCUCACGAGCUGGUCAUUGACGGAGUAGAGGGAAAAUCUCCCUUAUUCCCUUUAUGAGGUGAAUUGUCAUUCAAAUAUUGACUAGCCUCACCCGAGAGUGACAUAGCCUUAGAGCUAUGGAUGUUCCUCUCAUCUAGACUCCCUGUGCGCACAUAGAUCUAGGAAACUGAUGUUGCUUUUAAACCUUUGUUUUGAUCUACUGUGUUUUGUUGUUUUGGAUUGUUACUUCUCAUUCAGUUUAAUCUGAAUCUCUGUUGUUUCCAACUUUUAGUUUGAUUACAGAUAGGAACCGGUUAGGAACGAUGGGUCAGCGGAGUUGAUUAGAGUUCUAGGGAUGUAUGUUGAGCUGAGCACGUGAGAAUUUGUAGUUUUGUAUUAGGUUUUUGGAUAAAUGUAUAUUAGACUUGGUUGUGUUGGUUAUAUUGGACUUGAAGUGAAUUGUAUGAUUACCUUGUAUUUUUAGUUAGAUGUUUGGUUUGAGAAUUAUUUGAGUUAGUUAUGUUAAAGAGCUGGUGACCUCUUUGCUCAAGUUUUGUAAGUGUAAUUUAAGUGUCUUGGAAAAUGAACCCCGUGAUGACCCUGUUUACUCAGUCUACGAUAAGUCGGGUUGUUGCACCCCCAACCUUUGUCUACUUUUAUCCCAAACCCUAGACUUCAUAGUCCCCCACUAAACCCCAUAAGCCAUUAAGAUAACCUUUUGGUAGAGGGUAAUCAAGAGUCUACGGUUGAGGAUGCUCAAGCAUUUAAGGGUCAAGCAUCUAAAGUUGGGGUUAGUGAAGUUUAUGAUGGUGAAGGGAGCGAAUAGUUUGAGGAUGCACUUAGUGAAGGCUUGGAUGAGAAAGAUGUAAGUGAGUCAAGUGAUGGGGUGGGUGAUGAUGAUAGUGAGGAUAAGAGCUAUUGUGUAAGUGCUGAGUUAGAAGAAAGUGAAGAGGAGAGUUAUACAGAUAGUGAAGGGGUGGGUGAACAUGAAUAGCCUAAACAAUUGGGUGAUGCUGUAAUAGCUUUGAAUUUGAGCAGGGAUAAUGUUUCAGAUUAUGAUGAAAGUGAUGAAGAAGAGGCACAUGUCGUGAAUGAGCACACUAACUGAAAAAAUUCAAAUGGUGUGUAGGUGCUAGCUUCUCAAACCCAAAUGCAUUUAAGGAUGCAGUGACACAAUACGCACUAGCACAAGGUAGAAGUUUAAAAAUAGUUGUGAGUGAUAAGAAAA